rnacentral:lncRNA from 1 species
CCUAGGCACCGGCUUUAGCCGGGUUUGUUUUUGUUUGAGCAUACCAGCAUGACUUAGUCACAGCACUUGGGGGUAUUCAUGACACCGGAUCGGUUUGGCCACCGAUCGGAGGUAUACUUAUCCGGAUAGGUCGUCCUGCGGGGCGGAUGGAUCAGGUCGGUGCAGUUAGUGACAGGCAGCGCUUGAGGUCUGCGGACCGAUACAGCAGGCACAGAUUGGGUACAGUUUCUGGUUCAGUACAUUGAGGCAUUCUUUGCAUUAUUUUCUAUACAGUAGCAGGUUUAUUUAUUGCUUCCUAUUUAUCUGUUGUAGCUACUGUAGUCCUAUUUCAUAUCAGCUUACAGAUAUAUACUUGUUUAUCUAUCUCCUUUGGUUUCCGGUGAUUACGACUUGCCUUCGUGGCUCUGUCGUACCCACUGAGAAAACC